GCAGUUCAAGAUGAUGAGAUGAUCUCGUUUAUUCUCAACGGCCUGGAUUAUGAUUACAACUCCCUUGUAUCGUCAGUCAUGGGACGCCCUGACUUGACCAUGAGCAAUCUCUACGCUCAGAUCAUGGCCUUUGACA